rnacentral:misc_RNA from 2 species
AACGCACAUUGCGCCCUGUGGUAUUCCGCAGGGCAUGCCUGUUCGAGCGUCAUUUCAACCCUCAAGCCUCGCUUGGUGUUGGGCCCCGCCCGCUGCGGCCGGCCCCAAAGUCAGUGGCGGCACCGCACGGUCCUAAGCGUAGUAACACCCUCGCUCUAGGGCCCUGCGGCCGCGCGCCAGAACCCCAACUCCUAUGGUUGACCUCGGAUCAGGUAGGGAUACCCGCUGAACUUAA